rnacentral:rRNA from 1 species
UACGUAGGGUGCGAGCGUUAAUCGGAAUUACUGGGCGUAAAGGGUGCGUAGGCGGUUCGGUAAGUCUCUUGUGAAAUCUAUGGGCUCAACUCAUAGUCUGCAAGGGAAACUGCCGGGCUUGAGUGUGGGAGAGGUGAGUGGAAUUUCCGGUGUAGCGGUGAAAUGCGUAGAUAUCGGAAGGAACACCUGUGGCGAAAGCGGCUCACUGGACCACAACUGACGCUGAUGCACGAAAGCUAGGGGAGCAAACAGG